rnacentral:lncRNA from 1 species
UAACAUUUUAAUGAUUUUAUUCUUGUCCAAGAAUGUGCUUCAAUUUCCUCCUUCCACCCUCUGUUUUUAUCUUCUGUUAAUGACAAAUUUCCAUUUCUUUACCUGAAUCUCUGCCAAAGCUGCUGAUUGAGGAGACAGCGGUGUCUUCAGACAUGUGGAAUGAAGCAGCAGCUGUACUGAUAAAGGAUUUGGCUUUCCGGGCUGAGGGAUGAGAGUAAUAAAGCAGAUUUCCGUCCGUCUCUGCAAACUUAUUAAAUGAACAUAGAAUUCUUGCCAAAGUAACAAGGCUCCUGUGAGUCAUUGACUGAGUGUGGGUACCAGCAGUCCUUCAUGUUCAUAUCCGGUAGCUGAAGAGUUCUUUCAGGUGUGCACCUUUG